UCUUCAGUGGGGUUAAUCCUUACUUGUUCCUCCUUAGGGAGAAACAGUACAUGAUGAAUGGAGGAGGCUGAUGUGUGAUUACAGCAAUUCCUUGGGAGGUGAUAGUCUGAU